GCCAGGUAAGGUGGCACACACCUAGCUGUGGUCCCAGCUAUUCAGGAGGCUGAGGUGGGAGGAUCGCUUGAGCCCAGGAUAUCUAGGCUAUAGUUCUGGGCUAUGCCAAUUGGGUGUCCGCACUAAAUUCCACAUCAAUAUGGUGACCUCUUGGGAGCAGGGGACUACCAGGUUGCCUAAGGAGGGGUGAACCCGCCCAAGUCGGAAACGGAGCAGGUCAAGUCUCCCAUGCUGAUCAGUACUGGGGAUGCAUCUGUAAAUACCACUGCAUUCCGCCCAGGGCAACAUAGCAAGACCUCAUCU
rnacentral:SRP_RNA from 10 species